rnacentral:rRNA from 1 species
UACAGAGGUCUUAAGCGUUGUUCGGAUUCAUUGGGCGUAAAGGGUGCGUAGGUGGCGCGGUAAGUCGGGUGUGAAAUUUCGGAGCUUAACUCCGAAACUGCAUUCGAUACUGCCGUGCUUGAGGACUGGAGAGGAGACUGGAAUUUACGGUGUAGCGGUGAAAUGCGUAGAUAUCGUAAGGAAGACCAGUGGCGAAGGCGGGUCUCUGGACAGUUCCUGACGCUGAGGCACGAAGGUCAGGGGAGCAAACGGG